rnacentral:rRNA from 1 species
CCUACGGGUGGCUGCAGUGGGGAAUAUUGGACAAUGGGCGAAAGCCUGAUCCAGCCAUGCCGCGUGUGUGAAGAAGGCCUUCGGGUUGUAAAGCACUUUCAGUGGGGAAGAAAGCCUUGGGGCUAAUACCCUCGAGGAAGGACAUCACCCACAGAAGAAGCACCGGCUAACUCCGUGCCAGCAGCCGCGGUAAUACGGAGGGUGCGAGCGUUAAUCGGAAUUACUGGGCGUAAAGCGCGCGUAGGCGGUCUGAUAAGCCGGUUGUGAAAGCCCUGGGCUCAACCUGGGAACGGCAUCAGGACGAUGUGGGGCUGAGGUGCGAGAGGGGGUGGGGGGAUUCCCGGGGUAGGAGUGAAAUGCGGAGAUCGGGGGAGGAAGAGACGGGGCGAAGGCGGGCACCUGGACCAGAAUUGAAGCUGAGGCACGAAAGCGUUGGGAGCAAACAGGAUUAGAUACCCGUGUAGUG